rnacentral:rRNA from 1 species
GACGAACGCUGGCGGCGUGCUUAACACAUGCAAGUCGAACGGAAAGGCCUCUUUCGGGGGGUACUCGAGUGGCGAACGGGUGAGUAACACGUGAGUAACCUGCCCUUGACUUUGGGAUAACUUCAGGAAACUGGGGCUAAUACCGGAUAGGAGCUCCUGCUGCAUGGUGGGGGUUGGAAAGUUUCGGCGGUUGGGGGUGGACUCGCGGCUUAUCAGCUUGUUGGUGGGGUAGUGGCUUACCAAGGCUUUGACGGGUAGCCGGCCUGAGAGGGUGACCGGCCACAUUGGGACUGAGAGACGGCCCAGACUCCUACGGGAGGCAGCAGUGGGGAAUAUUGCACAAUGGGUGGAAGCCUGAUGCAGCAACGCCGUGUGCGGGAUGACGGCCUUCGGGUUGUAAACCGCUUUCGCUCAUGACGAAGCUUUGUGUGACGGUAGUGGGUAAAGAAGCACCGGCUAACUACGUG